GACGUAGGAGGCGAGCGUUGUUCGGAAUUACUGGGCGUAAAGCGCACGUAGGCGGCGCAGCAAGUCAGGGGUGAAAUCCCGGGGCUCAACCCCGGAACUGCCCUUGAAACUGCAGUGCUAGAAUCUUGGAGAGGCGAGUGGAAUUCCGAGUGUAGAGGUGAAAUUCGUAGAUAUUCGGAAGAACACCAGUGGCGAAGGCGACUCGCUGGACAAGUAUUGACGCUGAGGUGCGAAAGCGUGGGGAGCAAACAGG
rnacentral:rRNA from 1 species